rnacentral:rRNA from 1 species
UACGUAGGCAGCAAGCGUUGUUCGGAAUUACUGGGCGUAAAGAGUGUGUAGGCGGUGCUCUAAGUUUGGUGUGAAAUCUCCCGGCUUAACUGGGAGGGUGCGCUAUAGACUGUGGGACUAGAGUGUGGGAGAGGAAAGUGGAAUUCCUGGUGUAGCGGUGAAAUGCGUAGAUAUCAGGAGGAACACCGGUGGUGUAAACGGCUUUCUGGACCAUAACUGACGCUGAGGCACGAAAGCGUGGGUAGCAAACAGG